rnacentral:rRNA from 1 species
UACGGAGGGUGCAAGCGUUAUCCGGAUUCACUGGGUUUAAAGGGUGCGUAGGUGGGCAGGUAAGUCAGUGGUGAAAUCUUUGGGCUUAACCCGAAAACUGCCAUUGAUACUAUUUGUCUUGAAUAUUGUGGAGGUCAGCGGAAUAUGUCAUGUAGCGGUGAAAUGCUUAGAUAUGACAUAGAACACCAAUUGCGAAGGCAGCUGGCUACGCAUAUAUUGACACUGAUGCACGAAAGCGUGGGGAUCAAACAGG